rnacentral:misc_RNA from 1 species
UACGUAGGAGGCAAGCGUUGUCCGGAUUUACUGGGCGUAAAGGGAGCGCAGGUGGCUGCGCAAGUCGAUGGUGCAAGCUCCAGGCUCAACCUGGAGAGGUCUGUCGAUACUGCGUGGCUUGAGGGCGGUAGAGGAGCACGGAAUUCCUGGUGUAGUGGUGAAAUGCGUAGAUAUCAGGAGGAACACCGGUGGCGAAAGCGGUGCUCUGGGCCGUUCCUGACACUCAUGCUCGAAAGCGUGGGGAGCGAACCGG